AUACACACAAUGAGGACAGGAACAGGGUGGACCAAAUAAGGGCAAGGAAGGCACAUGAGGAGCAAAGCAACACAAAACACAGACCAGAGUCUAACAAAGUUUCUAUACAUAGUCAGUCGGGGCUGAACGCAGCCCAUGUCUUUGAGCUCCACACAGGCUAUUCCUGGAAGCUUUCUAAGGAUUUAAAUGGACCAUCUUGAUGAGCUUGUGUGGAGAAACAGGUGCUGUAUUCACCUUUGGAAAAAGUAAAAUAGCAAGCAAUGUACCCUGGAGGUUAUGGCUAAAGAAUGAUAUACCUAUGCACAUCUGAAGUGGACAGUCACACUCAGCCUUUGUAACAGAGCAGGGCCGUAUGUUUGCGUUUGGAAAUAAUAACAGAGGUCAGCUUGGUCUACAAACCAAAGGACCAGUGAAUAAACCGAUCUGUGUUAAAAGUGAGAUGCAUGUUGUUUUAUAAAGAUCAUGCUCGUUUUUCUUAUUUACCUUCUUAUUCGUCCAGCUCUUAAAGGGGAGAGAGCUCAGUUUGUUGCCUGUGGGACUGAUCUCGUCAGCACUUUGGCUCCACCCCUUUUGUGACUAUGCUCCAAUCAAAUUGCUCUCUAUUACCUAAAGAGCUGAAAUUGGGGCAGCCCAUUCAGUGGGUCUCAUGUGGAUACAGACACUCCGCUCUGGUCACAGAUAAUGGGGAUGUUUUUCAUGCCAUGGCAGAGGAACAUUCUUCUGCUACAGCAUCACAAAGCAAAAUGCAAUCCAAAACAUACAAAAAUCCAGAGUACAAAUAAUAAAUCUAAAAGUCAAGCAGUGGAGGUCAGAUUAUCUUCAGAUAGAAUGUCAGCUAAGGAAAAAGAGGGAAGCAGUGAAACAUGCAGUACUAAUAUUGAUCCAAGGGACAAGAUUUCAAAAGUAGACAAAUAUAGUAAAGUUCAACAUGCAGAUUCAAGAGGUCACUGCUCUUGUUGAGAUGGAGCAGGAGACCAAGUCAAGUCCAAAUGAAAUUCAAAAGACUUUCUCCAGAAGUUCUCCAGUUCAGGAAGUUGAACAAGUUAGAACAACGUCCACAAAAGUUCAAGAGGUCAAAUCUCCCAAAAUCAAAGAGAUGGGUAUUCAAGUAAGAGUUACAAAAAGGGUCAAGUCACCAGUCAAGGUUCAAGACGUGCCAUAGAGGUUAGCAAAGUUGAAUUAACACCUCAGGCAGAUGCUCAAAGAGACAUCAAGCCAUCCCUUAGAAAUGCUCAAGAGGUCAGAUCAACACUGAUCGACACACAAGAACAGGGAGACUCAACACCAGUCAAAAUUCCAGCUAAAAUGCAAAGCACCCC